CACCGCGGUUAUACGAGUAGGCGCAAGUUAAUAGACCAGCGGCGUAAAGCGUGGUUAAAGGAUUUACCCCUAAAUAAAGUCGAACGCCUUUAAAGCUGUCCCAAGCAUUUAAAGGUAAGAAGCUCCACUACGAAAGUGACUUUACAGUACUCACCCCCUUGAACCCACGAAAGCUUAGACA
rnacentral:rRNA from 1 species